rnacentral:rRNA from 1 species
AGUUUGAUCCUGGCUCAGAGUGAACGCUGGCGGCAGGCCUAAUACAUGCAAGUCGAACGGCAGCACAGCAGAGCUUGCUCUGUGGGUGGCGAGUGGCGGACGGGUGAGGAAUACAUGGGAAUCUGCCCAGUCGUGGGGGAUAACGUAGGGAAACUUACGCUAAUACCGCAUGCGCCCUUCGGGGGAAAGCCGGGGACCUUCGGGCCUGGCGCGAUUGGAUGAGCCCAUGUCGGAUUAGCUAGUUGGCGGGGUAACGGCCCACCAAGGCGACGAUCCGUAGCUGGUCUGAGAGGAUGAUCAGCCACACUGGAACUGAGACACGGUCCAGACUCCUACGGGAGGCAGCAGUAGGGAAUAUUGGACAAUGGGCGCAAGCCUGAUCCAGCCAUGCCGCGUGAGUGAAGAAGGCCUUCGGGUUGUAAAGCUCUUUUGUCCGGAAAGAAAAGCUUCGGGUUAAUACCCUGGAGUCCUGACGGUACCGGAAGAAUAAGCACCGGCUAACUUCGUGCCAGCAGCCGCGGUAAUACGAAGGGUGCAAGCGUUACUCGGAAUUACUGGGCGUAAAGCGUGCGUAGGUGGUUUGUUAAGUCUGAUGUGAAAGCCCUGNGCUCAACCUGGGAAUGGCAUUGGAUACUGGCAGGCUAGAGUGCGGUAG